UACGUAGGGUGCGAGCGUUAAUCGGAAUUACUGGGCGUAAAGCGGGCGCAGGCGGUUAUGCAAGACAGAUGUGAAAUCCCCGGGCUCAACCUGGGAACUGCAUUUGUGACUGCAUGGCUGGAGUGCGGCAGAGGGGGAUGGAAUUCCGCGUGUAGCAGUGAAAUGCGUAGAUAUGCGGAGGAACCCCGAUGGCGAAGGCAAUCCCCUGGGCCUGCACUGACGCUCAUGCACGAAAGCGUGGGGAGCAAACAGG
rnacentral:rRNA from 1 species